GCGGCAAUAGCUCAGUGGUGGAGCCCUCGCUUCACAUGCGGGUAGCCCGGGUUCGAUUUCCGACUGCUUCC
rnacentral:tRNA from 1 species